GAAAAGGCUUGACUCAUGUGAACGUUGUGUCAAGAACCUCCAAAGUCUGCAAGGAACUACUUCAUGUAAAGUAGAAACCAGUUCAACUUCUUACUUGAUUUAAACUGAAAAAUGUCAACUACUACUUGGCUCUCUUGGAACGUACGAAAACAGCUGUUUUUCUGCUGGUAUAAUUGGAAAGCGGACUGAUGGACUAGAAUUUGUUGUCAGCAACAUUUAUUGUUGUAUGCGUUCACAAAAUGAGUGUUUAAGCGGAGUUAUGACGACAUUUGCACAUUUUUUUAAGUGUACGAAAAGUUAGGGAACGUUGAAAGUGCUAAGUUGACUGUCGCUACAGAAAUGCGAGAAUUAAAGGAAUGAACAGAUACUUGAGGAAGUUGGAACUGAAGGGUUAACUUGCUGUUUGCGUUCGAAGAAAAAUUAAGGCGAUGAAAACAGUGUACAGUGUGGACGAAUGUGGCGCAAGAACUAAUGGUUUCUACAUGCCAAAAAUUACCGUGGGGUGAUUUUUAUGGAAUUAUUCAUCUUCUGAAGCCAACUUCUUCAUGAGUGUAGGCAGACUUGUUAGAUGCAACGAGCUGUUUCCAUUUCGUAAUGUGUUUCCUUGCGCAAACGGGUAUCUUCCACCUUUUUCCAAUACAAUUGGGUAUUUCACUCGGUAGGAAGGCAACAUCUGCACGGACACGAGUACCAAUUACGUUUGUUGACGCCAGUACUUGCAGUCAAGCAACUUGCCCAGGGUGAGCGAGCCCUCAGACACUUUCAGACGAAUCACAUGGGCCGGUAGACGUAGGCUUACAUAAUGCCUCCCGUGUGUACGACGAAGGUAGUUUCGUCAUACCUUGUGUAGGCAACCUAGCGGAUGUAGUCAUGUUUGUUCAACGAUAUCUGCCGUAUGGCGUUUCUGUUUUUAUCAAUUUCAUACUAACCUUCACGAAACCGAAGGCAUUUGUAAACAAUAUCCUUUGAAUUGACUUUGAACGAAGAAACUGUACUUAUGAUUGAAAAACUGCAAAGUGUGUGUUAUUUCUGGUAAAUUACUUGAAUAUAGCACGAUUGAAUACAUGUUCCUUUUUCCUGUUAAUAAGACCGCCAAGGAAAAGAGUUCCUACUUUGAAGUAAUUUUAUAACCUCUACACUUUUUAAGAAGCAUUCUAAAUCUUUAUAGUGUUAAGUAUUAGAUUGAAAGUGUUUCUUUUUUCGUGUGCUGUUUGUAACACACUUCAAAGUCAGGAAUGUUUUCUUUGUUUGACAACCAUCUGUGAUACCCACAUGUUCAGUUCAUCGUGGCUAAAGACUUCGUUUUAAUGAAUUCUUAGUUUAUGAAGGCUAUAAGAAAUACGCAUUCUUCCUUCAAAGAAGAAAGUUUUAAAAUGAGAAAUUGCCAAUAUUUCCUCACACAGCGUGUUUGUGCUAUACCAGGGACAAAUUCAUGAAACUCCAAUGAUUUGAUGAAUGGGAAAAAUUUUGAGCAUUGGAUGCUUACUCAACUUCGGCAAAAUUGAGAAGAACCUUCAGCUAUUGCGAUGGACAGUGCUCCUUGCCACAGUGUCCUUCUGGAGUGGAGAAAGGAUUAGAUAAUUGCUUGGCUGCAAGACAAGGAAACGUGUGGCUGUACACCCCUCAAAGGAGUGACGCCAUAUUAGAGCGCACUUCAACAUUGUUACUUUAUGCAGAACGUGUGGGCCCAAAAUGAAAUGAUAGAAGAACGAAAAAUGUAAGGAGAUGAAUAAUUAAAAACUUUAUUAAAUUAUUUUUGGGUAUUAUUUGUUGGUAUUUGAUAAGCGACCAUUAGGAAGACCAGAAAGAAGACGGAGUGAUAACAUAUCGAUCAGAGGAAAAUAAUAAUGUGAAGAUGAGAUGUAAGAAACUGGCUCAACUUUUUGGUCAACAGCUGGUUUUGGUAUACGCGAUGUUGAGUCUCGGGUAUUAUUACUGCUGAGGUUUUUAGUUAAUUAGAUGGUUAAGAUGAAUUGUGUGUGGCUUAUUUUAAUACAGAUACCAUCGCUGAUUUGAAGUGGACGGGAAGAGGAAAGAUAGAAUGACGUUUUUGUUGUCUGCACUUAUGUUCACAAGAUUCGUGAACUUCGAGACAGCUGUAUAUCUCGGUGUCCAGCACUUAUCAUUCUGUAUUCAUGGCAUCUGUCGCUUUAACACAAGCUACUGCGACCAACUGAAGAUAUAAAUGCGAUAAGAUCGUUCUCUGGUGAUGCCCAUAUUGUAACCCACUUGUCUUACUCGAUAAGCAAACGAGAUACAAUGCAUCAUCGCGCACUUGUGUAUUUGUCCCAUUUGAGCUGAAGUAGCCAUUCCAGCGACUAAUAUCUUUGUAAGGUAGGCUAUGUGAAAUUCUGAGCAGUAAUGACUUUACUGUGUUUUAAUGUCUUUCGAAUGUUGUGUGAUAACAGCGGGGUUCGAUUCCGGUCAGGAACAGACUUCCUUUUUGACCGUCAUAUCCAAGGCUGUCUCCUUGACCGACUCUUAAUAAUUAUGCAACCAGGACUCCGUUAUCGGCGGCAAGAAGUAGGAGAAAGUGACCGCCUUUCUCCACCCAGCGUCGAUGUUAGGGUCUGACAACAGAUGCUUGGAAUGUUUUUGCCUUGCAUCCCUGCAUGGCGUGACUUACGUAUGUUUCCAUAUAUUAAUAUAUGGAUUGUGUAAAUGCACUAGAAGCCAGCGUCGUCGUGGUAACUGUCCCUUUAUUGUGGAGACGACGACGCAGAAUAUCUACCAGUCCGAGUCAUCAUGUUA